CUGUAAGCCUGUGAAGGUGUGCUGUGAGGCAUGCUGGAGGUAUCAGAAGUGCGAAUGCUGACAUAAGUAACGAUAAAGCGGGUGAAAAGCCCGCUCGCCGGAAGACCAAGGGUUCCUGUCCAACGUUAAUCGGGGCAGGGUGAGUCGACCCCUAAGGCGAGGCCGAAAGGCGUAGUCGAUGGGAAACAGGUUAAUAUUCCUGUACUUGGUGUUACUGCGAAGGGGGGACGGAGAAGGCUAUGUUGACCGGGCGACGGUUGUCCCGGUUUAAGCGUGUAGGCUGGUUUUCCAGGCAAAUCCGGAAAAUCAAGGCUGAGGCGUGAUGACGAGGCACUACGGUGCUGAAGCAACAAAUGCCCUGCUUCCAGGAAAAGCCUCUAAGCAUCAGGUAACAUCAAAUCGUACCCCAAACCGACACAGGUGGUCAGGUAGAGAAUACCAAGGCGCUUGAGAGAACUCGGGUGAAGGAACUAGGCAAAAUGGUGCCGUAACUUCGGGAGAAGGCACGCUGAUAUGUAGGUGAAGCGACUUGCUCGUGGAGCUGAAAUCAGUCGAAGAUACCAGCUGGCUGCAACUGUUUAUUAAAAACACAGCACUGUGCAAACACGAAAGUGGACGUAUACGGUGUGACGCCUGCCCGGUGC
rnacentral:rRNA from 1 species